rnacentral:rRNA from 1 species
UACGUAGGUGGCAAGCGUUGUCCGGAAUUAUUGGGCGUAAAGAGCGCGCAGGCGGUCGAUCAAGUCGAGUGUGAAAGCCCCCGGCUCAACUGGGGAGGGUCAUUCGAUACUGAUCGACUCGAAGGCAGGAGAGGGUAGUGGAAUUCCCGGUGUAGUGGUGAAAUGCGUAGAUAUCGGAAGGAACAUCAGUGGCGAAAGCGACUUCCUGGACCAAUACUGACGCUCAUGUGCGAAAGCGUGGGGAGCAAACAGG